GCCUCACCCAAAUUCUCUCUCAACUCUUAUCUAACACAGACAACAAAAAAUCCAAUUAUUUACCACUGCAUCUAUUUAAAUGGAGUUAGCUGUCCCAUUUGCUCAUUUUAAGUGUUACCUUUUCCAGCAUUUCAAGGGUUUAAAGCUGCAUUUCAGGGCACUUCUACCCACACCCCGGCACCAAAUAUUUCCAACGGGAGCAAGCCCAGCGGGGGAAUCAGCAGGGGCAAAGAGCUCCUCUCUCAUUUCAGUGAAGAAGCUCUUUCAACUUACUUCAGCCUGCUAAAAGCAGGCAUCUUUUGGGCAUUCGAAGCAGCAGAAGUUUUGAAAACACCUUGAAGAAAACAAUAUUGAAUACAGGGAGUAUUUAAGUUUAUGAUUCUGGGCUGGGGGUUCAGGGGCAAUGAGAUGCUUUUAUCAUGACUCUUCUUCAUGGCUUUUUUUUUAGGAGGAUUGCAAUUUCCAGAAGUUCUAGAUCACGUCAAGUGCAAUAUUUCAGAUUCUCUCAGCAGAUUCAUCGUAACACAAAGGGAACCGCCCCCGCAGCAGCUUUCCUUAGCAGCGGAUCGGCCUCUCGCACAUAUUCGCUUCGGAGAGAUAAGUCGAGGGCUGUGGUCACAGAGGGGAUCAAAACAGGGCGGUGGGGAAGGAUUCACACCGGUUAGGGGUUUUGAGUCAUGAGGAGGGGAAGGUUUGAGAAAUGGCCUCCAGGGCCACAGUGAGGGAAAGGCUCACUUUAGCUAACAAUGCUGAGGCGGGCAGGGCAGAGCAGUCCCAGGGUGGGUUGUCACUUGUCUCUCGUGCUUUGGUAUCUUCUGUGCAUCUCAUGUAAAGUGUCUCUUGCCUUAGCCCUCCCAGGAGCUUAUGAGAAACACCAGGUCCUUACGUUCAUCUCCCAUCUUUGCGUUCCUCGGCCCGACACCGGAGAAACUUCCAUUCGGGAGCUCAGACACACGUCAGAAGCGCAUCUGUCUUUAGAAGCAUGUGAUCGUAUGUCUUUUUAGGUCUCGUUCUCCGCUGUGUCGACAGCUAUGUGCAGCAAUGUUUCUUUACAGUGGAUAAGGACUUGUGCCGAUUCAAAGGCAGGCAGAGGCUUCCAGCCACAGGAUUCUCAGGCAUCUGUCUCUGCUGUUCUUGGAAAAAGUUGUUCCGUUAGCAUCUUUUUCCUCCGGGGUCGUCCGAGCCCGGCAGGCUCGCCUUGGGUCCCUCAUCGAUCAUCACGUUCAGCAUUCUCUCGGUCCUCGUGAGGACUUUCUUGUCUCAGAGAGUUUUCUCUCCCUGUCACGUCCCCUCGUCUCACGUGUCACGGGUGUCUGGGGGUAUUUGGUCCGGAGCUGCUCUGCCCUGCCGCCCAGCCCGGUUGUAGGUGUUUAAGGAUAAGUCCCGGGCACUUGUAAUCGGAGACUUGUAGUACGGGCUGUGGUUGGGAGUCUAGGUGGUAUUCUUCUGUUGGCAGCAGGUGUCUGGAGCUGUGAAGUUACCCUGCAGCACUUUGACUCUUUUCCUAACUUUCUUUCAGAUGCAGACAGAUUGACCUCGUGGCAGAGCACCUGUCCCAGAUGAUGGGGUUCCCCUUGAGAAGGAAGUAAAGCCGGAUAGCAGCAGGGAAGGCGAAGCAGGUGGAAGGCUGCCUCCUGAUGCUGUGCUGAGGCCCCCUCACUGACCUGCCAAGAGACCCGGUUUGCUUCUCUGGUGAGCCCCAGGAAAUAUUACCGGAGUCUGUGACGAAGCCUCGACCUCGUCCACGUGUCGGCGAACCCUGCGACGACGGCGUCCGCCUCGGGGCGUGGCCGAAGCGUGCGGCCCGAGGACCUGGGAGUUCCUAAGAGACAGUGAUGAUACUUGUCUGAGACAACAGCCAGGUGAGAGAAGAACUUCCCAGACAGAGAGGUGGCUUUGUUCGGUCCCUGACCGGCCUCUCGCUGUGACUCACAUCUUCAGCCCUCUGAGAGAUAAGUGGAGCCCACAGAGGGGAUCAAAGCAGGGCGGCGGGUCGGGACUGAGAUCGGUUUGGGUUUUUGAGUGAGCUUUGGGGAUGGGGAGGUUCUGGAAAUGACCCCACAGGCCUCUGUGAAGGAAAGCCUCACUUUGGCUCGCAAUGCUGAGGCAGGCAAGGCAGAGCACUCCCAGGGUGGGUUGUCACUUGUCUCUCGUGCCUUCUGUGUCUUCUGUGCAUCUCGUGUAAUGUCUCUUGCCUUAGCCCUCCCAGGAGCUUAUGAGAAACACCAGGUCCUUACGUUCAUCUCCCAUCUUUGCGUUCCUCGGCCCGACGCCGGCGAAACUUCAAUUCGGGAGCUCUGACACACGUCAGAAUCGCAUCUGUCUUCAGAAGCAUGUGAUCGGAUGUCUUUUUUGGUCUCAUUCUCCGCUGUGUCGACAGCUAUAUGCAGCAGUGUUUUUUUUACAGUGGAUAAGGACUUGUGCCGAUUCAAAGGCAGGCAGAGGCUCCCAGCCACAGGAUUCUCAGGCAUCCAUCUCUGCGGUUCUUGGAAAAAGUUGUUCCGUUAGCAUCUUUUUCCUCCGGGGUCAUCCGAGCCCGGCAGGCUCGCCUUGGGUCCCUCCUCGGUCAUCUCGUUCAGCAUUCUCUCGGUCCUCGUGAGGACUUUCUUGUCUCAGAGUUUUCUCUCCCUGUCAUGUCCCCUCGUGUCACGGGUGUCUGGGGGUAUUUGGUCCGGAGCUGCUCUGCCCUGCCGCCCAGCCCGGUUGUAGGUGUUUAAGGACAAGUCCCGGGCACUUGUAAUUGGAGAUUUGUAAUAUGGGCUGUAGUUGGAGUCUAGGUGGUAUUCUUAUGUUGGCAGCAGGUGUCUGGAGCUGUGAAGUUACCCUGCAGCACUUUGACUUUUUUCCUAACUUUCUUUCAGAUGCAGAUGGGUUGACCUCGUGGCAGAGCACCUGUCCCAGAUGAGGGGGUCCCCCUGAGGAGGAAGUAAAGCUGGAAAGCAGCGGGUAAGGCGAAGCAGGUGGAAGGCUGCCUCCUGAUGCUGUGCUGAGGCCCCCUCACUGACCUGCCAAGAGACCCGGUUUGCUUCUCUGGUGAGCCCCAGGAAAUAUUACCGGAGUCUGUGACGAAGCCUCGACCUCGUCCACGUGUCUGUGCGGUUCGGGUACCCUUUAGGCGCGGCCGAGGAGUCACGGCAAGUCGGGGGCGUCGGAAGGAGCGGGGAGGGCGCUCUCAACUUUUAGCGACGCUACAUCGCCUCCUGUCCGUUUAUCCUAGGCGAACCCUGCAACGACGGCGUCCGCCUCGGGGCGUGGCCGAAGCGUGCGGCCCGAGGACCUGGGAGUUCCUAAGAGACGGUGAUGAUACUUGUCUGAGACAACAGCCAGGUGAGAGAAGAACUUCCCAGACAGUGAGGUGGCUUUGUUUGGCUCCCUGACCGGCCUCUCGCUGUGACUCACAUCUUCAGCCCUCUGAGAGAUAAGUGGAACCCGCAGAGAGGAUCAAAGCAGGGCGGUGGGUCGGGACUGAGAUCGGUUUGGGUUUUUGAGUGAGCUUUGGGGAUGGGGAGGUUCUGGAAAUGACCCCAUAGGCCCCAGUGAGGGGAAGCCUCACUUUGGUUUGUAACGCUGAGGCGAACAGGGCAGAGCAGUCCCAGGGUGUGUUGUCACUUGUCUCUCGUGCCUUCUGUGUCUUCUGUGCAUCUCGUGUAACAUGUCUCUUGCCUUAGCCCUCCCAGGAGCUUAUGAGAAACCCCGGGGUCCUUCUGUUCGUCUCCUAUCUUUGCGUUCCUCGGCGCGGCGCCGGCGAAGCUUCGAUUCGGGAGCUCUGACACGUGUCAGAAUUGCAUCAGUCUUUAGAAGCAUGUGAUCGGAUGUUUUUUUAGGUCUUGUUCUCAGCUGUGUCGACAGCUAUAUGCAGCAGUGUUUUUUUACAGUGGAUAAGGACUUGUGCCGAUUCAAAGGCAGGCAGAGGCUUCCAGCCACAGGAUUCUCAGGCAUCCAUCUCUGCGGUUCUUGGAAAAAGUUGUUCCAUUAGCAUCUUUUUCCUCCGGGGUCAUCCGAGCCCGGCAGGCUCGCCUUGGGUCCCUCCUCGGUCAUCACGUUCAGCAUUCUCUCGGUCCUCGUGAGGACUUUCUUGUCUCAGAGAGUUUUCUCUCCCUGUCACGUCCCCUCGUCUCACGUGUCACGGGUGUCUGGGGGUAUUUGGUCCGGAGCUGCUCUGCCCUGCCGCCCAGCCCGGUUGUAGGUGUUUAAGGACAAGUCCCGGGCACUUGUAAUUGGAGAUUUGUAAUACGGGCUGUAGUUGGAGUCUAGGUGGUAUUCUUCUGUUUGCAGCAGGUGUCUGGAGCUGUGAAGUUACCCUGCAGCACUUUGACUUUUUUCCUAACUUUCUUUCAGAUGCAGACGGUUUGACCUCGUGGCAGAGCACCUGUCCCAGAUGAGGGGGUCCCCCUGAGGAGGAAGUAAAGCUGGAAAGCAGCGGGUAAGGCGAAGCAGGUGGAAGGUGGUCUACUUGCAAGAUAUCCCAGCCCAGGAUGCUGGAGGACAGGAUUCGGCGUUGCCCCGAGCACGGCAAGGAGCAGAGAUGAGCAGGUCUCUGAUGCCUAUUUUCUGAGGAUCUACCAUUUGAUGUUGAGAAGCAGCAGUGAGAAGAUAUGUCAGGGCAUUUUGUUCAGCAGAGUGUUUCAAAUAAGGGUUGCAGUCACUGUGUGAGUUAGUCUCCUGCUGCAUGUCAGAGCGUGUCUGUCUGUGAGAGUCGGUGGGUCUGGGUCUGCUUGUGUGCAUGUGUGUCGAGUGGUUCUAACCUUGUCUGUAUGGCUUUUGCUUUUCAGGACUUGCAAUUCACUUUUAAAUUUAGAAUAAAAAAUCCCCAGCUGGGGGGGUUUUUUUUUUUUCCCUCCCAGCUGGGGUUUUUUUUCCUCGGUCCCGGCCGGUCUGCGAGG